UUGAAGACAUCAUUACUUUGGCCUGCACCUUCACGGCUUCACCCGUUUCUCUCCUCACAGCACUAGGGGCAAACGGAUCCACCAACGAGGCGAACGAGAGCAACAAUUCCACCUAUUUAUUCUAACAUGCCACUGAAGCGUGAGGCCUGUCGCUCUUCAAGUCCACCGGCUGCAGCUCCUCCCCUGUCAAUUAUGCCGCUCCAUCUACGAUAAACACAAAUGGUGACUCUGUAUCACAUAGAUGAGGGUCAAGUUUUAUUUGAUCGCUUCUCAAGCUCUUAUAGGUGGUUAUCCUUACCUGUUCAUCUCUGGCGGCUUCUUUCACCGGUGGCGAGCGAGAUCAGGUUCAAGACCGUAUCGUUGAGGAGAAAGACCAAGAUUCCAGUUCCAGAGGGCUAUGCGUGCAGCUGAAAUUGGCAACUAGCCAUCCAAUAAGAGAAAAAGCAUGUGAAGUGCUGAAAACUGCAUAAUUCUAUUUUAGAGGUUUGCAAAAAUUAAAAUAAAGAGAAGGGGAUUCCCAUCUUCGUGGAAUUUCAAUUGGGGUUGCUAUAUUGUGCUACACACACGUGCACGAGCAAUGCCGUGUGGCCCGACAUAAUGCAAAUUUCUUAUGGAAGACUGAGAAGAAGAUUACACAUAGCUCAGUAGGAUUCAACUUAUUUAUCAUUCGUUAAAAACUAGAGAGCAGCAUCAAACAAGUAGAUAAUUUUCAUGAGCACUUAAUUUCCGUAAUGGGGUAAUUGUUUAUAUACGACCAUCCAUUUGUAUUUAGCAUUUGUGGGUGGUGGAAUAUAUGAAAUACCACAAUUUGAGCCUUAAAUUUUUGGCAGAUUUUCUCAUAUGUUAUAUUUGCAUGAUCCGCAGCAAGGCGCGGGGCAUUAU